GAACGCACAUUGCGCCUCCCUCCACGGGAGGCAUGCCUGUCUGAGCGUCAUUAAAAUCGAUAGACCCGUCUGGGUCUGUGCUGGGCCUCGCGCGUCGGCGCGUCGCCUCGAAGGUAUCGGUCGUACGAGCGGACGUGAUCCAUUAGGACUUGACACCGUUCGGGGACCCUAAAUCUAAGACUUGACCUCAGAUCAGGUAGGGACACCGCCUGAACUUAAG
rnacentral:misc_RNA from 1 species